rnacentral:rRNA from 1 species
GACAGAGGAUGCAAGCGUUAUCCGGAAUGAUUGGGCGUAAAGCGUCUGUAGGUGGCUUUUUAAGUCCGCCGUCAAAUCCCAGGGCUCAACCCUGGACAGGCGGUGGAAACUACCAAGCUGGAGUACGGUAGGGGCAGAGGGAAUUUCCGGUGGAGCGGUGAAAUGCGUAGAGAUCGGAAAGAACACCAACGGCGAAGGCACUCUGCUAGGCCUGAUUUCGCGACUGACACUCAGGGACGAGAGCCAGGGGAGCGAAUGGG